rnacentral:snRNA from 1 species
AUCGCUUCUCGGCCUUUUGGCUCAGAUCAGUGUUUAGUUUCUGUUCUUAUCAGUUUAAUAUCUGAUAUGUCUCCACUUGGAGACUGUAUAUUAAAUUGAUUUUUGAAGCAUGGAGAUGGAAUAAGGGC